AGGCUCUUCUUCGUUAAUAUAUUUCUUUUUUUAGUUGUUUUAUCCAAUUAAAGAGUAAAUAAGGAGUAAAUUCAAUAAUAGUACAUUUCACAAAAAAUAAAGAGCACAAUUCUUAUAUUGGUACAAAAGUUGGGAGGAAAUUAGAUUUAAAGAAAGUUUGUAACAACCCUUAGAAAACCUAGACCCUUCCCCCUCCUAUAUAAUGAUGCUUUACCAAUACUUCUCAUUCUCAACUCAACCUACUUCGACUGAAAUGAAGGUAGUUCACAACAAUGAAGAAGACGAUGAUGAUGAUGAUGAUGAUGAUGAAACCUGUUUCCACAAUCCAGUUCAUGGAUUCUUCCAAUCAAUUGUUUCAAUGAAUCACCAAGUUUAGGCAACAAAGAAUAAGAAAUACACUUGUCCUUGCAUCUAAGGAUGAUCCCCACAUGGUUCAUUAGCAACUUGAUGUGCCUCCAGAAUUACCUCGCCUCAUGUACUAUUUAAUCAUCUUGAAACUCAAAUUCAUCAGUCAUGGCCAGGACUGCAUCACGUGUGUCAUCGACACAUAAUUCAGGUGCAGCAGAAGGGCCUCGAGAAGAUGUAGAGCAACAUCCAAUGUAAGAGCAAGCAGACUAUGAUGACGAAUAAGUCAGGACACUUCAGUAAUAAGUUUUGCUCCUUAUCCAUCUACUGCUGAAGCCACAACCAGUUUUAAUUUAUUAUCUUUCGAGGUCAAUUAUCUAUUGAUUUGCAAAAGGAAAAAAACCAAUCAAACUAAUGGUUGUUGUACUUCUCUUAUUUCCCAACUUGUUUUUUGGUUUAUGAAAGUGUCAGUUUUGUUUUCGAACUUUUAAAGGUAGAGGUAAGGCCUGUGUACAUGCUACCCUCCC